rnacentral:rRNA from 1 species
UACGUAGGCGGGAAAUUAAGUCAGUAGUGAAAUCCCACAGCUUAACUGUGGAACUGUUAUUGAUACUGGUUUUCUUGAAUAUAGUUGAGGUAGGCGGAAUGUGUAAUGUAGCGGUGAAAUGCUUAGAUAUUACACAGAACACCGAUUGCGAAGGCAGCUUACUAAGCUAUGUUUGACGCUGAGGUACGAAAGCGUGGGGAGCGAACAGGAUUAGAUACCCUGGUAGUCC